ensembl:lncRNA
AAAACAAUACUGGCAUAUGCACCCCACCCCCAUGAUUCUGAUUUAUUUGGUCUAGAGUGGGGGCCCUGAGUAUAAAAUCUUCCCAAGGGGUGGGAACCAUAGUAUUAAUGCUCAAUACAUAUUUCUUGCCUGAAUGAACACAGCUCACUCUACAAUUAACGUCAGCAUAACCACACACAACAAAUUAUAUGUGAGAGUGUUUUUAUAUUGAUUUCUAUUCCUCCUUAAUAGGAAUCGGCCGAAUCUCUUUGCCAGCAAUUGUCUCUAUUCUAGUCGAUAUCAGAGUUUUCUUAACACCCUCUCCACCGUUUUUCUCCUUUUAUUUAUGUUACUACCUCUUCUUGGUCACUCUAGGAUGCAUUGGGAAUCUGGCUUCCUCAUAUCAAGAUCCUUGUAAUGAUUGCCUGAUGAGUGAGUUCAUCAGCUGUAUUUAAAAAGUGUUGCCAUACCCCAAGCUCCUCAAAAUGCCCUGUGCGCUCUUUAUUUACUUGAGUCUGUAGCGUCUUCUUCCCAGAAGCCUUUGUUCUGAGCCAUGCUGGCCUGGGUUGGGAGGAGGAGUAAAAAGAUCCACUUCCAAGUUGAAGCUGCACUGAGAAGGCAGCUCCACGGUGCAGAAGUCAAGGAUCCCACGACUCCGUUGUGCAAAGGGGCUCACCCCUCCGUCUCCUUUCCUCAGCCGGAAUAUUACUCAUUCUUGUUUUCUGAGUUUAAUAGUUAUACCCUGCUGUAUCCAUUUUAAUAUUUUAUUCCAACAUGAAUUUUAGUGUAAGAAAGUCUUUCAAAAAAGAAGUUGCCGAAAGCAUACUAUCUGCAGUGCCCAGAACAUUCUGAGGAUUUCUGAGGAACAGAAAGUAGACUACUUCUUGUCACAAAAUGCCUGCCCCAGGAGAGACAGUGCCUUCUGGAAGGGACAAGAUCAAAUGACAGGAGCGGAAUGCUUUACAAGUUCCGAAGCUUGGCACAAAUGAUCAUUGGUAUCAAAAUUAUACUAUCACCAAAAGAAGAAUAAAAAAGCACCCUGCUUACCUGCGUAAAACUUUUCAUCUUACUUGCAAGCUACUGGUGCAGCCAGACCACACAGUCUCGAGAACGUCAGCUCCAGAAGGCCGAGGACUGUCCACUGUCUCCUUCAUCCUGGCACCGAGAAUGAAACAAAGUGUUUUAGAGAAGUUCCAUCAUGUAAAACGACUGUAUGUCAUGUUUCAUUGCCAAAUUACUCUGAUAUGAGGUGGAAUGCAAGAGAAGUGGAUGAACUCGAGAGUUGACCUGCACGUCUGUUAUGGGCUGAAUUGUGUCACCCCCACCAAAUUCAUAUACUGAAGCCCUACCCCCAGCACCUCAGAAUGUGACUGCGUUUGGAAAAAAGGUCUUAAAGAAGUAAAGUUAAAAUGAAGUCACCAGAGUUGGCCCUAAUCCAACAUGACUGAUGUCCCCAUGAGAAGAGGAGAUUAGGACAGCUGCAGUUACAAAGGGAAGACCCUGUGAAGACAGCUGCCUACAAGCCAAGAGGCUCCAGUAGAAGCCAACUCUGCUGACACCUUGAUCUCGGACUUCUAGCCUCCAGAAUUUGAGAAAUAUUUGA